rfam:Paxillus involutus ATCC 200175 unplaced genomic scaffold PAXINscaffold_322, whole genome shotgun sequence.
GGCCGACUAGCUCAGUUGGUUAGAGCGUCGUGCUAAUACAGGAGUAAUCCCUGGUGACGCGAAGGUCUUGGGUUCGACCCCCACGUUGGCCA